UAUUGGUUCGCCUUACAUAGCAUUGUUGAGCUCAACAUGUUAUAAUACUGCUGUUGAGAGAGACACUCCCAAGAACUGCUCAUGAAGUUCCUGCGGCAACUUGCCACUUCUGUGGCCUCACCUCGGGUGGUUGGAGAUCCUGGUGGUUUCUUCAGGAUUGAACUGCAGCUGCCUGGUGUCUGUUUGCUGAAAGGACUGGACUGGACUGAAAGGACUGGACUGGACUGUAGCGGCUGGUUCAUGUGUGCUGUCUGCCUGCCUGCCUAGAGGACUGGUCUGCAGCUGCAAAGUUGUGUUUGGUGUUUGCUACAGGACUGAACUGCUGCGUAAGAAGAUGGAGCUUCCCCCAAAGAACUAUUGUUGAACAGAAAACAUUGCAGACUUGGCUAUGCAUGUAGAGUUUGUGACUAGAAGUCGAGGUGCUUAGAAAGCAAAAAGAACCAGGGGGAGAACAACAGAGUUCAAGCUUGGAAAUCAGACAUGACAAAGGGAGACCUCCUGAAGACUUUGGCAACAGAGAAGAAAAGGGAGACUAAUCAACAAAAUAGGUGAUGUAUAUG
rnacentral:lncRNA from 1 species